rnacentral:lncRNA from 1 species
CGAAUACAGCCAGUUACAGGAAAAGGAAAAUGCCAAUUCAGCUUGGGAUAGAAUGUGCAGCUAAUUUGUAAAAGUAUGGUUGAAGAAUAGUAUUGUCAUGUGUUAGAUAGUUUAUGAUUGUGUAUUAGUUAAGGUUACUCGAUUUUGGGGAAAUGGUGUGUAAAGUUUAAUGUAUAAACAAUUUAUGUUUAUAUCUUCC